GACAGAGGGGGCAAGCGUUGCUCGGAACUACUGGGCGUAAAGGGCGCGUAGGCGGGAUGGCAAGUCGGUCGUGAAAUCCCUCGGCUCAACCGAGGAACGUCGAUCGAUACUGCUGUUCUUGAGGAUUGCAGAGGAGACUGGAAUUCCCGGUGUAGCGGUGAAAUGUGUAGAGAUCGGGAGGAACACCGGUGGCGAAGGCGGGUCUCUGGGCAAUUCCUGACGCUGAGACGCGAAAGCGUGGGGAGCAAACAGG
rnacentral:rRNA from 1 species